ACACUGACGUCGCGACGCAUAUCAAUAAGCGGAGGAAAAGCUGUUACCUACGCUUAGGAUGUUGAGGAGACUGUCGAUCUCAUCUACACUGGACGUCGCGACGCAUAUCAAUAAGCGGAGGAAAAGAAACUAACAAGGAUUCCCCUAGUAACGGCGAGUGAAGCGGGAAGAGCUCAAAUUUGAAAUCUUAAAGGUUUUACCUUGACGAAUUGUAGUUUAAAGAAGUGUUUUCUGUUGAGGUUUUGGUAAAAGUUCUUUGGAAUAGGACAUCAUAGAGGGUGAGAAUCCCGUAUUUGACCUUUACUUUCAACUUUGUGAUACACUUUCAAAGAGUCGGAUUGUUUGGGAAUGCAGUCCAAAAUGGGUGGUAAAUUUCAUCUAAGGCUAAAUAUUGGCGAGAGACCGAUAGCGUAACAAGUACCGUGAGGGAAAGAUGAAAAGAACUUUGAAAAGAGAGAUUAAACAGUACGUGAAAUUGUCAAAAGGGAAGCGUUUGACACCAGUGUUGUUUUUCUGAAAAUCAAUUAAAGAACUGUUUAUGCUAAGUUGUUUAGACUUUAUCAGCUAACUGUUUAGUUUUGAGCUUUUCUUUAAUGCACUUUUCAGUUAACAAGUCAACAUCAAUUUCUUUUGCUGUAAAAAAGCUUGAGGAAGGUGGCUUGAGAUUCGUCUUAAGUGUUUAUAGCCUCUUGCCUAUGCAGUCGGAGAGAUUGAGGUCUGCAGCGUAGAUCCUUCGGGGCUAAAUGCAUUUGUGCUAAGUUAUAGCAUUUUAUAGACAACUUGUUGACUAUGAUUUGUCUUGUAGCUUACUCGCUUAUGUUAUUUUACCUACGCUUAGGAUGUUGAGUAGCGACAUACGCAC
rnacentral:rRNA from 1 species